UACGGGAGGCAGCAGCUACGGAAUAUUGCACAAUGNGGGAAACCCUGAUGCAGCGACGCCNCGUGAAGGAUGAAGAAUUUCNGUAUGUAAACUUCUAUCANCAAGGAAGAAAAUGACGGUACUUGACUAAGAAGCCCCGGCUAAAUACGUGCCANCAGCCGCGGUAAU
rnacentral:rRNA from 1 species